UACGAACUGUGCGAACGUUAUUCGGAAUCACUGGGCUUACAGGGUGCGUAGGCGGCUCAACAAGUCAGGUGUGAAAGCCCCCGGCUCAACCGGGGAACUGCGCUUGAAACUGUUAGGCUCGAGUCAGCUAGAGGUACACGGAACUUCCAGUGGAGCGGUGAAAUGUGUUGAUAUUGGAAGGAACACCGGAGGCGAAGGCAGCCCCCUGGGCCAAUACUGACGCUCAGGCACGAAAGCGUGGGGAGCAAACAGG
rnacentral:rRNA from 1 species